GCAUAACGCGAAGAACCUUACCAGGCCUUGACAUGCAGAGAACUUUCCAGAGAUGGAUUGGUGCCUUCGGGAACUCUGACACAGGUGCUGCAUGGCUGUCGUCAGCUCGUGUCGUGAGAUGUUGGGUUAAGUCCCGUAACGAGCGCAACCCUUGUCCUUAGUUACCAGCACGUUAUGGUGGGCACUCUAAGGAGACUGCCGGUGACAAACCGGAGGAAGGUGGGGAUGACAUCAAGUCAUCAUGGCCCCUACGGCCUGGGCUACACACGUGCUACAAUGGUCGGUACAGAGGGUUGCCAAGCCGCGAGGUGGAGCUAAUCUCACAAAACCGAUCGUAGUCCGGAUCGCAGUCUGCAACUCGACUGCGUGAAGUCGGAAUCGCUAGUAAUCGCGAAUCAGAAUGUCGCGGUGAAUACGUUCCCGGGUCUUGUACACACCG
rnacentral:rRNA from 1 species